CCUACGGGAGGCAGCAGUGGGGAAUAUUGCGCAAUGGGCGAAAGCCUGACGCAGCGACGCCGCGUGAGGGAUGAAGGUCUUCGGAUCGUACACCUCUGUCAGUAGGGAAGUACGGUCACUGUGCUAAUCAGCAGUGAAUUGACGGUACCUGUAAAGGACGCAUCGGCUAACUCCGUGCCAGCAGCCGCGGUAAUACGGAGGGUGCGAGCGUUAAUCGGAAUUACGGGGCGUAAAGCGCUCGUAGGCGGUAUGUCAAGUCAAGGGUGAAAUCCCCGCGCGCAACGUGGGAACUGCAUUUGAAACUGGCAAACUGGAGUGUGGGAGAGGAUAGUGGAAUUCCAGGUGUAGGAGUGAAAUCCGUAGAUAUCAGGAAGAACAUCAGUGGCGAAGGCGACUAUCUGGCACAUAACUGACGCUGAGGAGCGAAAGCGUGGGUAGCAAACAGGAUUAGAUACCCCGGUAGUC
rnacentral:rRNA from 1 species